rnacentral:rRNA from 1 species
GACGAACGCUGGCGGCGUGCUUAACACAUGCAAGUCGUACGGUAAGGCCCUUUCGGGGGUACACGAGUGGCGAACGGGUGCGUAACACGUGAGUAACCUGCCCACAACUUUGGGAUAACGCUAGGAAACUGGUGCUAAUACUGGAUAUGUGCUCCUGCUGCAUGGUGGGGGUUGGAAAGCUCCGGCGGUUGUGGAUGGACUCGCGGCCUAUCAGCUUGUUGGUGGGGUAGUGGCCUACCAAGGCGGCGACGGGUAGCCGGCCUGAGAGGGUGACCGGCCACAUUGGGACUGAGGUACGGCCCAGACUCCUACGGGAGGCAGCAGUGGGGAAGAUUGCACAAGGGGCGCGAGCCUGAUGCAGCAACGCCGCGUGCGGGAUGACGGCCUUCGGGUUGUAAACCGCUUUCAGCAGGGACGAAGCUUUUUGUGACGGUACCUGCAGAAGAAGCACCGGCUAACUACGUG